CUCCUUUAACAAAUCAAUGCCAGACAAUGCAGGUGGUUGUUUAUUGACAGAACUAAGAAUAUUCUUCAUUUCUUCUGCAGUUAUGGCAACAUACCUAUAACGAAGGUUAAUAUGACAAACAUCAUGCAAAAAUCGACGACCCCUCCAUGUAUACAACAUUUCUUGUCUUAAAAGAGAUAUCUUCCUUCAUGAAGUUUUUAAAAUGGAAAUGACAAUUUUUUGGCAUAGCGUGGAAUUCACCAUAGCGUGAAAUUCAUUUUUCUCAAAAUCUAUCUUUUUCCACUGUCUUUUUGAAUCCAUCUUUCACUGUUGUUUGUAAGCAACAAUUACACCACUGUAUACCGAAUCUCAGUUAGCAAAAUUUCUGACUUUUUCUCUCGUGACAAGCGUUCUAAACCGCAUACAUCAACAGGUAUUUAACUUCUGCAGAACGUUUUUUCCACUUCAAUGUUCUUAUUACAAACCAAAUAUUUCCCACUUGGAAAUGCUUAAAGCAUACAAACAAUAACGAAACAAGAAAACGCCUUUAAAUAUAAAAUAAGACAAAUGUGCUAAUCAUCUGGUUUGUUUUUAGAAUCCACCACGCGAUAAUCCCGCGUUGGCGUGUACUACACGCUUGCUUUACUGUGUGUAUGCACCAUAGAAAUAAUAGAUAUAGAAUGCGUACUCCUAUCUUUUCUCAGUGAAAAAUUUGUCUCCACAAAAUGGCGGAUUUAUAAGGGCAUUUUGGUUCCCAGACUCCCAGGGGGCAGGGAAUUUCAGUGGGAAUUUCGCGCGGUUGCAGAGAGCAGUGCUCUCACUUUUAAGGAAUUAUCCUUAAAAAUAGGAAUUUUGAAGAGUUUUAAGGAUUUUUUUAAGGAAUUUAGGUUUUUGAGGAUUUUUUUAAGGAAUUUCCGAAACAUUUUAUCCUGGACUAAAAACGUUGGACGGAGGAUAACCACGCCACGCAAAUGAGAUUUAAACUUGAAAGUAGC